rnacentral:rRNA from 1 species
GCUUAGAGUUUGAUCCUGGCUCAGAUUGAACGCUGGCGGCAUGCCUUACACAUGCAAGUCGAACGGUAACAGGUCUUCGGGUGCUGACGAGUGUCGAACGGGUGAGUAAUACAUCGGAACGUGCCCGAGAGUGGGGGAUAACGGAGCGAAAGCUUUGCUAAUACCGCAUACGAUCUCAGGAUGAAAGCAGGGGACCGCAAGGCCUUGCGCUCACGGAGCGGCCGAUGGCAGAUUAGGUAGUUGGUGGGAUAAAAGCUUACCAAGCCGACGAUCUGUAGCUGGUCUGAGAGGACGACCAGCCACACUGGGACUGAGACACGGCCCAGACUCCUACGGGAGGCAGCAGUGGGGAAUUUUGGACAAUGGGCGCAAGCCUGAUCCAGCCAUGCCGCGUGCAGGAUGAAGGCCUUCGGGUUGUAAACUGCUUUUGUACGGAACGAAAAGACUCCUUCUAAUAGGNUGGNCCCAAA